AUCUCUGUAGCCCCAGUGCCUCAUAUAGGACUGGCACGUUUGGGAGGCACAGAUUGAGUGGUACAAGGGACAGAAAGAGAGAUUAGGACAGCAUAUUUUAAAACCAGGAUCUUCAAGCUCUCCGGAAUACUGAAGAUGUAGAAGAAAGUCAUGUGACUAAGCAAUUGUGGGAAUUGAGAGAACUCAGUUCAAACACUGUCUCUUUCCUGCUAUACUUUAGCUGUGUGGCCUGGCUAAAUCACUCAUCUCUAUGCCUCAGUUUCCUCUUCUUUAUGACCCCCUCACAGGAUUGGCUGCCAUCAUCUAGCAAGUGAGCCAUCAGAGGAAGCAUUCCAGAAGUGAAAAGCAUUGUUGUUAAUAUUAUUAUUACUUUUGUGCCUAGAGAGCAUCAGCAUCACUUGGAGGGCUUGUUAAACACAGAUAUCACUGGGCCCCAGCCCAGAAUUUCUGACUCAGUAGGUUUGGGUUACUAGGGUCCAAGAAUUUGCAUCUCGAACAAGAUCCAACAGAAGGCAGUGAAGAGGAGCAAUGAAGUAAAGGAAGAAAGACAACAAAAGCUUGAAAAUUCUAGCUCAGAGCUUCCUCGCCUGUAUGUCAUGGCUGGAGAUGUGGGUGCCCAGAAAUUGAUCCCUCAUGCCUUAGCAGGAUCCUGAAGACAGCUGCCCAGGUUGUGCACACAGAAUAAGGGCAUCAUUCUGCUUCAAGGGAAAAAUGGGGCUGAAAUCCCCAGACGAGAUGCCUUUUCCUAAUAUACCUAUGGUCUAGUUCUUAAGGGGGUUUGGCCCGGUGGGGAAAACUGGGAUAUCUGAUCUAUCGCCGCUGGCCUUGAUCGAACUGUUUACCCCAGGCUACCACACCGGCAUGUUCAUUCUCUACAUAUGCUACGGCUUGAAAACAUUUGGGAAGCUUUACUCUAAAGUUUCACUGUCCACGUGAAAGACAAACAUGUUAUCAUAUCCCCUAUAUGUGGCAUCUUUAAAAAAAAAAAAAAAGGAUACAAAUGAACUUAUUUGCAGAACAGAAACAGACUCACAGACUUUGAAAAACUUAUGAUUACCCAAGGGGUCAGGUAGGGGGCCUGGGAAGGAUGGACUGGGGCUUUGGGAUUGGCAUAUGCACACUGAGGUAUGUGGAAAAAUUGGCCAACGAGGACCUGCCGUAUAGCGCAGUAAACUCUACCCAGUAUUCUGUGGCAAUCCAUGGGGGAAAAGAAUCUGAGAGAGAAUGGAUGUGUGUAUACGUGGGACAGGGUCCCUUUUUUGUACAGCAAAAAUCCUCACAGCCUUGCAACGUAACUGUACUUCAAUAAAACUUAAAAAAUAAAAAGGAAAGCUGCACUGUCCAAUUAGUUUGCCACUAGAAACAUGUGUCUAGUACAAAAUGAGAUGUGCCAUAAAUAUAAAAUGUGUACCAGAUUGCAAAAAUUUAGAACAAAAAUAAGAAACUCAUUAAUAAUUUGUUUUAUAUUGACUACAUGCUGAAAUGUUAAUAUUUUGAAUAUAUUACAUAUGCUACCAAAAUUAUUUGCAUUUCUUUCUUUUUGCUGUUUAAAAAAAUAAUUAUAGCUCUCUUUUAUGUUUUGUUUUAUUUUAUUUUAUUUUAUUUUAUUUUCACCAGAGCAUGUAGCAGCUUUGACAUGGUUUCUCAGUUCCCAGACCAGAGAUUGAACCUAGGCUAUAGCAACAACAGCACUAAAUCCUGACCACUAGACCACCAGGGAACGCCCUCUUUUUACUUUUUAAUGUGACUAUUAGAAAAUUUAAAAUUGCACAUGAGGCUCCCAUUAUAUGUGUGGACAGUGCUGUCCUAGAAAGAAAGUUAACAUUUUGCAGAAAUUGUAGGUGGUUUCAUCUGUCUGCAAGAGUGGAGUGUGUGUGUGUGUGUGUGUGUGUGUGUGUGUGUGUAGUCAGGCCACUGAAGGGAGGCUGAGCAGUCCCAGCGGUAGGCUAAGUACUUCAACUUGACCCUGUAGGAGACAGCAAUUCAGAAGCUGUGAGAGGCAGAAUGACCUGAUUAGACUGUUUAGAAUGACACCUGGAAGCAGAGUAGAGGAGGGACUGACCGAGAGGUCUCACAAAAAACAAAAGCUCUGAGAAGCAGUGCAGUGGAACUGAAAGAGGAGCCAGCCAGAGGUCAGUCACAUGGCCCAAGUUCACACAGCUCAAGUUCACAUCAGAUAUGUUCAGGCUCAGGCCAUCCUAGUGAUUAAGAGAAUGGGCUUGGGAGUUCCUGCUGUGGCUCAGCCAUUACAAACCCAACUAGUAUCCAUGAGGAUGCGGGUUCGAUCCCUAACCUCACUCAGUGGGUUAAGGAUCCAGCGUUGCCAUGAGCUGUGGUGUAGGUCACAGAUGCAGCUGGGAUCCAGCAUUGCUGUGGCUGUGGCUGUUGCAGCUCCAAUUCGACCCCUAGCCUGGGAACCUCCAUAUGCCGCGGGUGUGACCCUGAAAAGCAAAAAAGGGAGAGAGAGGAAAUGGGCUUUGGCACCAGACUGCUCCAUUUGAAUCCUAGCCCUUCCAUUUAAGGUCACCUGUUUUCAUUAACUUUGCCGCAUCUCAGUUUAUUCAUCUGGGGAUGAAUGGGGAUCUGUUAUCAUCACGUUGUUAUGAGCCAUAAAUGUGUUCAGAGAAAGGAAGCGCUUAAAACAUGUCUAUUUGGCCUUGCUUGGUCACAUGCUCCUUUCUUAUUUUGCCAGGGGGAUGUGAUUUUGUGAUUGGACGAGGCUGGGUCUCGUGCCCAGCCCAGGUGGACAGACAGCUGGGUCUGUUACCCCAGGAAGGGGGCGAGGCGGGGGAAUGUGCCAGCACAUACAAACAGCAGCUGCCCUGUCUUCUCCACCCUCCUGGCUCCAUGACCUUGGACAAGUGACUCAAUGGAUAAGGAGCCCAACUUCCACUUCAGUAACACCUUCCU
rnacentral:lncRNA from 1 species